rnacentral:lncRNA from 1 species
GCUCAAUGUGCGGGUCCCGCAGUCCUCGUCGACGGGCAAGGACCUCGCGUACACCACGUGGCACCAGCAGCCACCGAGUGUUCGCGCCCACGGCGGCCGUCGCCGCCACGCGAAGCACUCGGCCCGGAAGAACAAGAGGUCCGGGCGGCGCUCCCACUCCGCCGCUGCCACCGAAGCUUCGACAAAGGCCGCGGCGGAGGACGUGGACUUGACGCCGGACAACGUGCCGUCGGCUCACUGGGAGCCGCCGUUCAUGGAGACGACGCCCAGCGCCGUCGAAGACACGGCAACGAUCACGUCCGACACCCGCUUCGCUGCCGUCGGCACCGAUCGUGACCGGCGGCAGCAUCGCUCAAAAUGGAACGUUCAACUCAUCGGCGAACCUCGACGAGUACGAGGAAGUGUUCGAGUACUACUACGUGUACGACGACAACGAGACGUCGGCAUCGAGCACGCAUCUGCCGGCACAAUACGCCGACCUUGCCAUUCCAAUAAACCGAUGAUGCUCGA